CCCACCUUGCCCGGCUUUGUAUUCCUUGCCUAUAAAUAGAGCCGCCCCCACCCCACCCCCAAACCCUCUCCGGGCCUGGCGGGGGAUUUGCUGCGGCGUGUGGUUCCCCGACUGCAGUUCCUGUGCUAUUCCUGAAGAGACGCGAUUUCUGGUCCUUCACCCUCGCCUCGCUACCCGUUUAUGCUGACGAUGGUUAAACCAUGUGCUCCGGUCACAAAACAAGAAAACCAGAAUUUACCUCCAGGCCAAUGAAUAGCUACCAAGAAUCUCUCCCAGUCCUCCAGCCGAUGAACUGACUGCUUGGGGUCCGGUUGGACCUCCUCGCCCUGUUUGCAACUCCUCGUUCCGUAAGCACAGCCACCCCCUAUCCCUCAGAGCUGUCGCGUGUAGCUGCUCCAGUUUGCAUUUUCUGAAUUGCAGUUCCUCUGCUAUUCAAGAAUAAACUCAUUUUUCUGGUAAGUCAAACUUUCCUCAGUUUAACUCUUUAUUUAGGUUGACACUGGGAUCGUACCUGUAACAGAAGACUUCUAGAUAAAGAAAACAGGAUGAAGCCCUAUGUUUACUCUUGCUAUCAUUAGGUCCUACAGUAACAAUGUUUAAUUUGUACAUUUGAGCUGAAUUAUAGCGUUUUGAAUGCCAGUAUUGGACUCAUAAAAAAGCAGCUGUUCUUUUGAGCUAUUUAUUCCCUUAUUAACAAGAUUGCCUGAUUUUAUAUUAAAACUAUAUUUAUUUUAUUUCACUUUUACUGCCAAUGUAAAUUAAAUGGGUAUUUUUCUUUGCAUUUAUUUAAACUUUAUUUUUGAACACUUGUGCAUAAAAUAUUAUAAAACCCAGUUAACAUUAA